AGAGUUUGAUCAUGGCUCAGGAUGAACGCUGGCGGCGUGCCUAAUACAUGCAAGUCGAGCGAACGGACGAGAAGCUUGCUUCUCUGAUGUUAGCGGCGGACGGGUGAGUAACACGUGGAUAACCUACCUAUAAGACUGGGAUAACUUCGGGAAACCGGAGCUAAUACCGGAUAAUAUUUUGAACCGCAUGGUUCAAAAGUGAAAGGCGGUCUUGCUGUCACUUAUAGAUGGAUCCGCGCUGCAUUAGCUAGUUGGUAAGGUAACGGCUUACCAAGGCAACGAUGCAUAGCCGACCUGAGAGGGUGAUCGGCCACACUGGAACUGAGACACGGUCCAGACUCCUACGGGAGGCAGCAGUAGGGAAUCUUCCGCAAUGGGCGAAAGCCUGACGGAGCAACGCCGCGUGAGUGAUGAAGGUCUUCGGAUCGUAAAACUCUGUUAUUAGGGAAGAACAUAUGUGUAAGUAACUGUGCACAUCUUGACGGUACCUAAUCAGAAAGCCACGGCUAACUACGUGCCAGCAGCCGCGGUAAUACGUAGGUGGCAAGCGUUAUCCGGAAUUAUUGGGCGUAAAGCGCGCGUAGGCGGUUUUUUAAGUCUGAUGUGAAAGCCCACGGCUCAACCGUGGAGGGUCAUUGGAAACUGGAAAACUUGAGUGCAGAAGAGGAAAGUGGAAUUCCAUGUGUAGCGGUGAAAUGCGCAGAGAUAUGGAGGAACACCAGUGGCGAAGGCGACUUUCUGGUCUGUAACUGACGCUGAUGUGCGAAAGCGUGGGGAUCAAACAGGAUUAGAUACCCUGGUAGUCC
rnacentral:rRNA from 1 species